rnacentral:lncRNA from 1 species
AAAAAUGCAAUCAAUGAUUUGAGAAUCUCUCAGAAACUCUUCCUAAUGUUCAAAUGAAAAAAAAAUAUAGAUAUAUAUAUAUUUUGAAUAAUUUAAGGUUACAACGUCGGAGUUGGAAGCUCCAUGAACAACACUGAGAUUUGCAGGAUCUGUCUAUUGCAUGUGGAGCUAAGGAACAACAAGUUGGCCAAUGGCCAGGAAAUGGAAAAUCAAAAAUCUUAUCAAACCCCUCCAUAAACACAAUGCAGAUUAAAAGUAAGAAUUACAAAUCUUAAUUUAGAUUGUGAUGUUAAGAAGGCUAGGUAAUGUAACACUACGAAAGAUUUUCAUACAAUCAUCUUCUUCAAUGACUCUAUUUCGGACAGUUGAUAAGAAUCAAAUGUCAUGGGAUCCUUUGGCUAUCCACAUUUUCAAACAAUUCUUAUAAAGCUAACAGGAGUUGAGUCACAUUGAUUCGUACCUCUUUUUCCUCCUCUAAAAUUUCUUGUCCCGCCUCUUCGUAGCAGUCUUCCUACCAUUUCCAUCAGUCGUAAUAUGAGCAUAAAUUUACAAAAUAUAUGUUGAGAUGAAGCAGAUGAAAAUAUGUUCUAGUAACAUAAAUCAUCUAACAUUCCUUACCCUACAAGAAACUAACAUAAUCUCAGCAGGGAGUCAGGGACAUAAUGUGGCAAAAAUCAAAUGUUUUAUCUUCAUCAGCACACCAAAACAAAUCCAAUGAAAAAUGUAGCCAAGUAACUCAAUCUGAUAUGUGAUUUAACCGUCAAUGGUAAAAGAAAUAAAAGACACUAACUCACACCUAGGCAAAGAUGAGUGCCACAUUAGAGAAAUAUUCAUGUUUGGAUCAUGUGUAUAAACAAUAAAAUCAAGGAAAUAGACCGGCUUCUGUUCGAAAUCGAGAUGCUUCUCUACUUGGGAAUUCACUAAGAGCAUCAUUCAAGUCUAGAGCAAUUUCACGAACCAGAUUGAACUAUCAGAUGUCUCAACCAGAAAAAUGGAAACAAUUGCCAAUACACAUAAUCAUAUGGAGAAGAAUGUGUACAUGAAGCAUUUUCCUGUGUAUACACAAAUACAGAUAGAGGAUGGAGGCAGGCAGGUUAUAUACCUUUUGCUUGCCUUUAUAUAUUAUAAGCAGAGCUUAUGACACCUUGUAUUUUCUUUCCAGCUUGCCUAUAUGGACAAUACAUAAUGUUUGAGGAUUAAAUAUCAUAAAAAGCGAAACUUCAUACAAUUGCAACUUCACACAAUAUAAGAAUAUCACCCCUCCGCCUAAUUAAACAAUGCAAUAUUCCAUCUCCAAAUUUAACAUCAUAAAACGCAAAACUAACAUCAAUAAAUUCAGAAAGAAAGCAAGAACCCAAAUGAUAAUUAAAUUGAUGAAUGAUUCUUAGAAAUCAAAGUAAGAUUUUUGUCACUGACCUGCGGUUCUGGAACAAAACUUGCUUGAGCUUAAUGUUGCAAAGAAUGGGGCAUUCCCUGGUGAGCUGCAGUCAACAGCGGCGGCGACUGGAGGAGACGGAGCCGGCGGCGAUGACAUAGGAUUCUAGAUUUGGGAGUGGGAGAGAUGCGAUGGGAGAGCGAGAAAUGCGCAUUUAUAUGGUAGGGCGUCAAAGAAGAGCUGGCAUGCCUUGGAGGCUCCUAUGGAAAAUUAAUUCAAAGAUUUUACAGACUUUUAUCCUUACUUAAUUUCAAAUAUGUCGAAAUCUUUAUAGGGGAGCAAACAACUCAGCCUGAGCACUUUUAUAACUUAAUGAAGAAGACUGUCUAAUGUUUGGGAUCAACUUUAAACUAAGAGCAAGGACGUUUUAAAAAUUAUAUCUGAAAAUUAGGUGAUUGCUUUGACCCUAUGAGCUAAAAUGUUCUGCUAAUCAAACACAUGAAAUACUGGAAAACAGUCGCGCGGUGGGGUGGGGAGGAAAAGCAAGUAUAUAACCUAGUCUUUCCGCCGCCGAUAUCUUUGUAUUCCAGAAAGAGAAAAUGUUGCAGCAAAUAGUCCGACAAUUAUGAGAAACAAUAGAAACAUAUAAACGUCAAAUUGUUCAAUCACGUACCUUAAAAAAAAGUCUGGAAUCAGGCGGGGAGAUGGAGCACCAAAUCCUGCCAAUUUAGAUGUAUCAGCGGCGGGAGACCCGGUAUAUAGAGAUUAGCUAGCAUAUCAAUAUCAAUUGUUGUGAUAGN